CGAUACUGACUCCAUCUGUCAACUUCGUUUAGACUUUGCCGCCCUCAGCCACACGCCGGGGUGCCAGACGCCCAAAGGCGCAAAGUUAAGUCGUGUAGAGGAUUCUCGAACUCCUGCGAGGCCUUUCUAAAUGUGGACGGCGAGAACUCAGUGCUGGGGCCUGGGGGUGUCAGCGUGAUUGAGGAAAUGCUGGAAGAGCACCAGCCUGCAC
rnacentral:lncRNA from 1 species